rnacentral:rRNA from 1 species
AUUCCAGCUCCAAUAGCGUAUAUUAAAGUUGUUGCAGUUAAAAAGCUCGUAGUUGGAUUUCUGGUGGAAGUGACCGGUCUGUCCCUAGUGGAUGUGAACUUGUGUCUACUUUUGCCAUCCUUGGGGAGAGCGUGCCUGGCAUUAGGUUGUCGGGUUCGGGAUCCCCAUCCUUUACUGUGAAAAAAUUAGAGUGUUUAAAGCAGGCUUAUGCCAUUGAAUACAUUAGCAUGGAAUAAUAAGAUAGGACUUUGGUGGUCUAUUUUGUUGGUUUGCACACCAAGGUAAUGAUUAAUAGGGAUAGUUGGGGGUAUCCGUAUUUCGUAGUCAGAGGUGAAAUUCUUGGAUUUACGAAAGACGAACUACUGCGAAAGCAUUUACCAAGGAUGUUUUCAUCA